CCUGUAUGUGCGCGAGCGGCCAUAUUGUCCCCCUGAGGAGCGGAGAGGUCCAGUAGAACCAUGUCCGGCCCGGUCAGCAGCCAAUCCCGCGUUUACCCAGACGUCAACACACAGAGACCGCGGGAGUACUGGGACUACGAGUCACACGUGGUGGAGUGGGGGAAUCAGGAUGACUACCAGCUGGUGAGAAAGUUGGGUCGAGGUAAAUACAGCGAAGUGUUUGAAGCCAUCAACAUCACAAACAACGAGAAAGUAGUUGUUAAAAUACUAAAGCCAGUGAAGAAGAAGAAAAUCAAGCGAGAAAUAAAAAUCUUAGAGAAUCUGCGAGGCGGCCCAAACAUCAUCACACUUUUAGACAUCGUCAAGGACCCAGUGUCUCGAACGCCUGCUCUGGUUUUUGAGCAUGUUAACAACACAGACUUCAAGCAAUUAUAUCAGACGCUAUCAGAUUACGAUAUCCGGUUCUACAUGUAUGAGAUCUUAAAGGCGCUGGACUACUGCCACAGUAUGGGAAUCAUGCACAGAGACGUCAAGCCACACAACGUCAUGAUCGACCACGAGCACAAAAAGCUUCGUCUGAUCGACUGGGGCUUGGCAGAGUUUUACCACCCGAGUCAGGAGUACAACGUCAGGGUGGCGUCCCGCUACUUUAAAGGACCUGAACUGCUGGUGGAUUAUCAGAUGUACGACUACAGUUUAGACAUGUGGAGUUUAGGCUGCAUGCUGGCCAGUAUGAUCUUUAGGAAAGAACCUUUCUUCCACGGACAUGAUAACUACGAUCAGCUUGUACGGAUUGCGAAAGUCCUGGGCACAGAAGACUUGUACGACUACAUCGACAAAUACAACAUACAGCUCGAUCCACGGUUCAAUGACAUUCUGGGCAGACAUUCCCGGAAGAGGUGGGAGAGGUUUGUACACAGUGAGAAUCAGCACCUGGUCAGUUCUGAAGCUCUGGACUUUCUGGACAAACUCCUGCGAUACGACCACCAAGCUCGGCUCACGGCGCGAGAGGCCAUGGAGCAUCAGUACUUUUAUCCUGUUGUGAAAGAUCAGGCACGGAUGGGUUCCACUUCAGCUCUUUCCACCAGCUCCACUCCUGCCAGCUCCUCCAGCAUGAUGACGGGUAAAGAUCUAAAUCAUCAGUUUAGUCUGAACAGAGGAAUUACGUCUUCGCAGCCCAUGGCCAACAUGGCCACCUCUCCGGUGAUCUCCUCCCCCGGUGCUCUGGCUGCACAGGUUCCCGCCGCCGGAGUUCAGCCCUGAUCCCCACCCUCGUUUUUACCUUCAGUCUGUUUAACUUUGAGAGACUAAAUUAGGGGCGGAGUCACUGCCUGACAUCAUCACCUACAGGGGCGGAGUCACUGCCUGACAUCAUCACCUACAGGGGCGGAGUCACUGCCUGACAUCAUCACCUACAGGGGCAGAGUCACUGCCUGACAUCACCUACAGGGGCGGAGUCACUGCCUGACAUCAUCACCUACAGGGGCGGAGUCACUGCCUGACAUCAUCACCUACAGGGGCGGAGUCACUGCCUGACAUCAUCACCUACAGGGGCGGAGUCACUGCCUGACAUCAUCACCUACAGGGGCGGAGUCACUGCCUGACAUCAUCACCUACAGGGGCGGAGUCACUGCCUGACAUCAUCACCUACAGGGGCGGAGUCACUGCCUGACAUUACAACAGACGCACCUGAACACCUGGAUUUCAGCUUUUACUGUUUAAUGAGUGACGAAACCCUGACUUUAUAAACUUCCUCUGUGUGAUCGUGUGUGUGUGUGUGUGUGUGUGUGUGUGUGUGUGUGUGUACACAUGUUACACAUGUAUCACUAUUAUUAUACAGCGGGUAUAUUAGAAAUGCACUAAGAAUUUAUGUUAAAUAUAUGUGAGUGAGUUACAUUACAA